UAAAUGACUGAUGCAGUAUAAUAAUUCAUGCAAAUAUUACUUCCCUUGGUUAAUAUUACUCAGAAUUAGAAACGAAUUAGAAACAGUUUUUCUCAGCCUGUUGAACCCGGAACAGAUUGCGGUAGAACUUUUGUUUCAGGCAGGAUGAAUAACAACAGAACACCGACACAGUGGUGCCACGUGGUGAUACGGAGAAAAGAUCUCUGUUAUGUUGGCACUCCCCUAGCGGAGCAAUGGCUGGGAGAGGAAGAGGCAGAGGCAGGGGUCAGGUGACCUUUAACAUGGAGGCUGUAGGGAUUGGGAAGGGAGAUGUCCUUCCUCCACCCACCCUCCAACCCACCCCACUGUUCCCACCCAUGGAGUACAAGCCAGUGCCGCUGCAGCCAGGAGAGGAGGCGGAGUACAUGCUGGCACUGAAGCAAGAGCUCCGUGGGGCCAUGAGGAGCCUGCCCUACUUUGUCAAACCUGCAGCCCCAAAGAAAGAUGUGGAACGUUAUUCCGACAAAUACCAGAGUUCAGAACCGACCGACAAUACCAUUGAAUGGAAUCCAGAUUGGAGAAGGCUGCCCAGGGAGAUGAGAAUUCGGGUGAGAAAGCCGCUGAAGGAGAAGGCUCUUGUAGGUGUCCCCAAACGCAAGCAGCAGACUCGUGUAGACAAGGAGGAGAUCAUCCGCAAAUUGGAGACACUAGAGAAGAAGGAGGAGGAGGUAAGCUCAGAGGAAGAGGAGGAGGAGAAGAAGAAGAAACAGGAGGAAGAAGAGCAGGAGAACGAGGAGGAAUACGACGAGGAGGAGUUUGAGGAGGAGACUGAUUACAUCAUGUCCUACUUCGAUAACGGGGAGGAGUUUGGAGGAGACAGUGAUGAUAACAUGGAUGAGGCCAUUUACUGAGGCCCCAUCCCUGCAGGAGUGCUGCUGCUCUGCAGAUCGAAAGCACAAACGUUACCCCUGCUUUGCGGCGCUGCACAUGUCCACAGCAGAGCUCCAAGGACACAGGGGUGUUAUGGACCAAAGAACUCUGAGGACAGCCUGGUUUUUGCAGACUGAUGGCAGCUGCACGAUGUUGGAAAGUGAGGUGAAAUUAGGUAGAAUGGCACAGGUGAGACACAGACCUUCCCCUCACAGCUCUUCAAGCAAGCACUCCUCAGCUCUGACUUGAACAGCCCUGCCUGCCACCCAGGCCUGGGCUUUCUGAAGCAGUGACAACUGUGCUAUGCUUUGUGGGCUUUUGCUAUGCGGAUUACCCUGAUGUGCACUGGGGCUGUGAACUAUCAAACUUAAUCAGGAUUCAAAGCCAAGCCUGCACAGUUGAAACUCUAAUGAGUGAGCGCACAGCGUCUCCUACAGUAGAUAUAAUGCGGUGCUCGGAUGCUUAUUGGUAAAUGCUUUUUUAAAAAUGUUCUUCAGUCUUCUGUUGACAGGUUUGCAAUGUUUGAUCUAUUGUAGCUCUGUGUGUUUUCCACAAACCCAGGACUGACAUGUGAUUCCACUAGUUCUGCAGGAUAUUCUAUAGAUUGCUUGCACAGUUUUUAUUACCUCGUCAAAUAGUUGGUAACUUGACACCAGCCGCUGUGCUGUGCCGAAGGCGUUCUUCACACGCUGAAUUUCAAAACACCAUUGUACCUGCACGGUACAUCAUUUCACAGGUGCAACAGAGAAGGAGAAGUGAGUAAUGGGCAGCAGUGUGGAGUAGUGGUUAGGGCUCUGGACUCUUGACCGGAGGGUAGUGGGUUCAAUCCCUAGGGGGGACACCGCUGCUGUACCCUUGAGCAAGGUACUUUACCUAGAUUGCUCCAGUAAAAACCCAACUGUAUAAAUGGGUAAUUGUAUGAAAAACUUUGCUUGGUGUGACUUUUUUCUACAUUGCUCCCUUAUUCUCCAAUAAAAAUAAAGAACUGAAAGCAUGGUGACAAAUGGCAAAAACAAAACUGGUAAAUUGCACAGUAUAAACAUGGAUGCAGGCUUUUGGUGCAGUUGCAGUUUUUUUUUUUAUUCAACCCUUUUUUUUCUGAAGGGAAUAUGUUCAGCUUACUGAGGGUUUAAUAGUUAUGGAUGAUUAAAAAAACAAACCCAGAAACAGCUGUGAAGGGACUUCCCUUCCCCCAGCAACUGCUCGGGGGCCUGUCCUGUCACUCACACUUGUUUUUCUCUCCAGUCCACAGAAGCGAUCUGCAGUACGUGCUGAAAGCUAUGCAGGGGUGGGGCUUGUAUAGCAAGGGAGCAGGUUGUCUCCACCCUCCAAACCGUGCUAGUCUCUCCUGUUGUCUGCUGUUUCACUUCUCAAGUUGGGUCUGGCUCAUUGCCAGACUUUCAUAUACAUCAGUACAAAGUGUCCCAGGACGCUUCCUAGUGUUUACCUUCCGGCGUUGUCCAAAUCGCAGCAAUGUUUUUUCAGCAUUUUCAGUAAUGUUAAAGCUGACAGUAAUGUUGUUGAAGCUGACAGUAAUGUUGUUGAAACUGACACCCUGGGAUCCUUCAAGAAGCUGCUUGAUGAGAUUCUGGGAUCAAUAAGCUACUAACAACCAAACGAGCAAGAUGGGCUGAAUGGCCUCCUCUCGUUUGUAAACUUUCUUAUGUUCUUAUGUUAUUAUUAUUAUUAUUAUUAGUUUAUUUAGCAGACGCCUUUAUCCAAGGCGACUUACAGAGACUAGGGUGUGUGAACUAUGCAUCAGCUGCAGAGUCACUUACAACUACGUCUCACCUGAAAGACGGAGCACAAGGAGGUUAAGUGACUUGCUCAGGGUCACACAAUGAGUCAGUGGCUGAGGUGGGAUUUGAACAGGGGGCCUCCUGGUUACAAGCGCUUUUCUUUAACCACUGGACCACACAGCCUCCUGUUCUUAUAUUCCCAGUUGUUUCGAUAUUUGUUUUUUCACACAUCAAAGGUAACCUAGGGAAUUUUUUUCUGUCAGCUUUUUACUUGGGAACACUUGCCAGGAGAAAGAGAAUUUCUCUUCUUAACAUCGCAGUGUAUCCAGAUCACGCUUCCUCCUGGUGAGUGGUGUGUUGAGGCAUGCUUAUUGGAGGGAGAGUGAUCUGGGUACACUGCAAUCCUUACAAGGCAUUGUGACGGGGGACUGCCCCGUCUUUAUGAACGUGGUUGGGACUGGCAGGGAGGGGGUUAAAUUCCUCCCUGCCAGGAAAACAUGUGAGAAUGUGGCUGGAGCCCUAAUUGAAUAAUCAGCAAUUAUUGAUUAAUUGGGCUCCAGCCACAGGGCAUAAAAGCCAGGGGAGAAGCCCUGGCUAGAGAGAGAGUUCUAGAGGAGAAGAAGCAACAACAACUGUGUUUGUCUGUGUGUGUCUGUGUGUGCUGUUUUUGUAAGUUUUUUGAAUCCAGUGAAGGCAACGCCCAGCCUGGAAGGCUUAUUUUGUAAGUUUUGUUUUGUGUGCUUAUUGUCUAUUAGUUUUGUUUAGAAACCUUUUUGUUUGGCCCUUGUGCCUGUUUAUUUUGUAUUUUUGUGAAUUAAAAACUUUAUUUUUGAACUUUCAAACUGUCUCUGAGCCUCACCCUCUGCCAAUCCUGCCACAGGCAUAUAUUUUUCUUCUGGUGAACGCUUCCUAGUGAAUGUUGAUUUAUGAUCCAUGAUCAUGUAAAAUGUUUAACAUAUAAGGAAAGUAAUACUUUUCUGUACAGUGGAGUGUGUUUAUUUAUUUAGACGUGUUUUAUGCAUUGGUCUUCUAUGCGUGAUAUCUUUUUGAUGCAGCCAUUUAUAAAUUCUGUUGUAUGAACCAAUAUGAAAGCAUGUCAUUUUUGCUACUGAAUGUAUUUCAAGCAGUUGUAAUUCCAAUGGCCAUGCACGCAGAAGGGUAGUCACAAUGGUAGAAUGGUACAGUGGUAACAUGUUCUGCUUGGGUUCUGUGUAAUGUUAUUCUAAGGGGAUAUGAAUGGGAUAGUGCACCAGGUUACAGUAUCGGUUUUGAAACACAGGGUUAACUGCGCUUCACUUGGGAUGGAUCUGCUAAUAUAACACAUCAGCAGCAGCUAUUCAGGGAAGAACUCUGUGGAGCCUUGUUAUGGCUUCUGUUUGACUUGUAGGGCUUUCUGUGUUACCAGGAAAGGGUAGCUCCUUAAUUAUAUAGACAGGAUUACAUUACAUCAAGCAAGCGUUGUGCCAAGGAGAGGGUAGCUACUUCAUUUUAUACAGACAGGAUUACAUUACACCCAGCUUGUGCUGUGCCAAGCCCGCAUUCAGCAAACGCUGUACAUUUCUCACCAAUAGGGUAAGAUAUUGCAGUCUCACAGACUUGCAGCUACUUAUACAAAGCCAUACUGUCGAACCCUUUUAAUAUCACUUCAGAGAGACUGAGCAUUAAUUGCGACAAGAAGAGGAGUUGACUUUAUCAGGUGUACCAGAUGUUUUCAAAUGAAAAUACAUGUUUGCUAAACCAUGUGUUUCUUUCAGAACUGCACAUUUGAGAACUAUAAUGAAUGGAUGUGCAUGGCAGAGAAAAUAUUUUGAAAGCUUCAGUUACUUUAAUGCUUAUAAUCUUAUGCUUCUUUUAGGAAGUGAUGGUAAGUGACUCCUGUUAUAUUCAGGCCAGGAGAUUUCGAUGUGGUUUGGGACUCAUUUGACUGCUAAUAAGAAGCUUGACAUUGUUUUGCCUCUCCAAGCAGGUUCAGACUGCAACAUUCAGGACUGUCAAAUUCAGGAACCGUCCCAAGAGUGAGUAAUGGUAUAGAAUAGGAUAAUUACAAAACCUCUCAGUACUGUCGUCUGUGCGAUUGCAUAAGGCAGCCGUCAUGCAGUGUUUUUUUAUUGCAAUAAAACCUGUUUAAUCUGGCAUUGCUUGGGACCGGAAAAUUGUGUUGGAUUAUACAGUGCGGUGGAUUACAGAGCUGCUGUAAAAUCUAAUACUGUACCUUAAAAAAAAACAGUUUGAACAGUUUUAAAAAAACAAUUGCAGUAUAUACAGUACAAGUAGUUCAAGGAUUGUUUCAAUUUUACUUUCUCCAUCAUGUAAUUUAUUUUAUUGUAGAUGUACAAAUACAGCAGGUCAGAUAUAUUAUUAACAACAUACUUAUUUAUUAAUUUAGAAUAGAAAAAAUCACAGGAUUUACAAAUCCUGCUGGAUUCCAGAAUGGGCAGGUUCUGGAUUAUAGAGGGUGUCACAGCAUGCAUUUCAAUAGGGAUUUGGACGGCACCCAAAAUAUGAUACCAGAUUAUACAGAAUGAUAAUGUUUGCUUUCAAAACUGCACUUUUAAGACCUCUAUAACGAACGGAAAUGUACGGCAGUAAAGAUUUUUGGAAUUAUU